rnacentral:sRNA from 1 species
UUUUAGCCCCGAUAGCAGCUGCAUCCUUUUUCUGGCUUCUUUAGCCAGGAAAAGAUACAGCGAAUAGCGGGAUUAGCU